rnacentral:rRNA from 1 species
CUACGGGCCGCAGCAGUGAGGAAUAUUGCACAAUGGGGGGAACCCUGAUGCAGCAACGCCGCGUGGAGGAUGACGCAUUUCGGUGUGUAAACUCCUUUUAUAUAUCAAGAAAAUGACGGUAGCAUAUGAAUAAGCACCGGCUAACUCCGUGCCAGCAGCCGCGGUAAUACGGAGGGUGCAAGCGUUACUCGGAAUCACUGGGCGUAAAGGACGCGUAGGCGGGUUGGAAAGUCAGGUGUGAAAUCCUACAGCUUAACUGUAGAACUGCACUUGAAACUUCUAAUCUAGAGUAUGGGAGGGGGAGAUGGAAUUAGUGGUGUAGGGGUAAAAUCCGUAGAUAUCACUAGGAAUACCUAAAGCGAAGGCGAUCUCCUGGAACAUUACUGACGCUGAGGCGUGAAAGCGUGGGGAGCAAACAGGAUUAGAUACCCGCGUAGUC